rnacentral:lncRNA from 1 species
UUGCAGAGAAAGCAGGAGUGUCCCUACAGUCCUGUGAAGAUGGUUUGAUUAGAGCUCCACAGGAAGGCAAUGGUCAGGAAAAGGGCCACUGAGUGGUUCCAUAAACUGCCGCUAAAGGAGACCUGAGCCAACUCCACCCCUCUGCCAACAAGAAUGGAGGCUGGUUGCCUGGCAACCAUGAUGCCCCCCCUCCCCCGUUUAGUAUUAGAAGUUUU